UAGGGAAUCUUCGGCAAUGGGGGCAACCCUGACCGAGCAACGCCGCGUGAGUGAAGAAGGUUUUCGGAUCGUAAAGCUCUGUUGUAAGUCAAGAACGGGUGUGAGAGUGGAAAGUUCACACUGUGACGGUAGCUUACCAGAAAGGGACGGCUAACUACGUGCCAGCAGCCGCGGUAAUACGUAGGUCCCCGAGCGUUGUCCGGAUUUAUUGGGCGUAAAGCGAGCGCAGGCGGUUUGAUAAGUCUGAAGUUAAAGGCUGUGGCUCAACCAUAGUUCGCUUUGGAAACUGUCAAACUUGAGUGCAGAAGGGGAGAGUGGAAUUCCAUGUGUAGCGGUGAAAUGCGUAGAUAUAUGGAGGAACACCGGUGGCGAAAAGCGGCUCUCUGGUCUGUAACUGACGCUGAGGCUCGAAAGCGUGGGGAGCGAACAGGAUUAGAUACCCUGGUAGUCCACGCCGUAAACGAUGAGUGCUAGGUGUUGGAUCCUUUCCGGGAUUCAGUGCCGCAGCUAACGCAUUAAGCACUCCGCCUGGGGAGUACGACCGCAAGGUUGAAACUCUAAAGUGAAUUACGGGGUCG
rnacentral:rRNA from 1 species